GCGUGCGGAGCAAGCCAGCGUUCUUUGGUUUUUUCGUCUCUUCUCCCUCCCUUCGUCCGUGGAGCUUGGAGGAAGACAAGAAGACGAAGACACUGGUAUCUUAGGUUCCUGAUCUCUCCGUCUCGUCUAAUUUUACGAAUGUUUCUUUCCAUGGAUUAUUAGUUUCAUGGAUCGGCGGUUCUCGUUUUGGUAAUCCAAUGAUCGUCUUAUCCUAAAAGAAUCGUACAUUUUCAAGAUCUCAUUCCAAAGUGUAGACGAAGAGAAGACCUCUCUGAGAUCUCAGUGUCCUUGAUCUGUCCAUCUCCUUUAGGUUUACGAUCUGGGUUCUUUCUUUGGAUGGAUCAUUAGAUCGUUAGUUAAAUAGUUCUGAGUUUGGCGAUCUUUGAUGGCGAAUGGACUUUCCGAGUGGUUUUCUACCGGAACCCUUCUCCGAAGGUGAUGGUGAGAUUUCAAGUUUUUUGAUCUCUCUCGUUUGAGUCUAAGUUGUUUCGUUUCUUUUCGAGGGAUCAUUAGAUCUAUACAUUUGUGAUUAUUCUUUCAGUGAUCUUUGAUGGCAAAGUGAGUAAUCUAAUUGUCUUCAAUGAAAAUCCACUUCGACAAGAUGGCAGUAAUCAAUCCUAUGCUUCGUGAUUAAAUUUUCAUUGAGGAAUAUUUUAGUUUGGGUUGUUUGUCGUUUUGAUCUUUUUCUUUUUCUUGUUUUCCUUUCGUGAUUGUGAAUAUGCAUUUAAUAGUAGAUGUGGGUUCGAUUCUUUUGUAUUCAUCUGAUGUGUUGCAUUUAGUUCUCGGAACGCUCGGUUGUUCUCGUUAUUGAUAUCCUAAAUUGUACUUUAAGAACCAAAUAUUUGAGAACGCAUUGUACUUCAAUAAAAUCAUCAGAUUAACCAACAAUGCUAGAAAUCCGACAGGGGAGAGGUAGCGAGAACUUAAUGGAAUAGAACUGCAUGCAUUAUCUAAUUAAAUACCAACAAGAAAUGAUUACAGAAUAGACUAAGGUAAUUCAAAAAAUCAGAGGGUGAACAUGGCAUAAUUUAUUAGAGAUUGCUUUGGUUAAAGGAUUUUUUUCAUUUAAUAAUCGUAUCCGCAAUGACGUUCUAAGUUGUUUUUAGAUGUUUUAAAUUGUUAUUUCAUGGAACAUUCUUGACUCUUGCCAUAGACGAGGCUUAUAAAUAAUAGGCGAGGGUGGUACGAAGAGCGAGCAAGCGUUGUUUCGUUUUUUUCAUCUCUUCUCCCUCCCUCCAUCUGUGGAGUGUGGAUGAAAACAAGAAGAUGAAGAAGUUGGGAUCUCAGGUUCUUGAUCUCUCCCUCUUAUCUAGUUUUACGAAUAUUUGUUUCCACUGAUUAUUAGCUUUCCGGAUUAGUGGUUUUCAUUUUGGUGAUCAUUGGAUCACCAAAAUCUCAGUGGCCUUGAUCCAAUGAUCAAGUCUUAUUCUAAAAGAAUUGUGCAUCCUCAAGAUCCCAUUCCAAAGUAUAGACGAAGUGAAGUUCUCUCUUAAAUCUCAUUGGCCUUGAUCUGUCCCUCUCCUUUAGGUUGACGAUCCGGGGUUCUUUCUUUGGAUGGAUCAUUAGAUCCUUAGAUAAAUAGUUCCGAGUUUGGCAAUCUUUGAUGACGAAUGGAUUUUUCGAUUCAUUUUCUUUCAGAACCCUUCUCCACGAGCGAUGGUGAGAUUUCAGGUUCUUUAGUCUCUCUAUUUUAAGUUUACAAGUUGUUUCUUAUAUGUUCGAGGGAUCAUUGAAUCUAUACAUUUACUGUUUUACUCAGUGAUUUUUGAUGGCAAAGUGAGUAAUCUAAUUUUCUCCAAUAAUCCUAUGCUUCGUGAUUCAAUUGUCAAUUGAGGAUUAUCUUAGUUAGGGAUGUCUCUCGUUUUGAUCUUUUACUUUUCGUAUUUUUCCUUUCGUGAUCAUUGGAUUCAAUUGUCGGUCGUUGUGAUUCAAUCGUCGAUUGAGGAAUCGUAAAUGUGGGGUUUGAUUCUUUUGUAUUCAUCUGUUAUGUUGCAUUUAGUUCUCCGAUUGCUUGGCUGUUCUGAUUCUCAAUAUCCUAGAUUGUACUUUAAAAAUAAAAGAUUUGAGGACAUAUUGCACUUCAAGAAAAUUAUCAGAUUAACCAACAGCAUUAGGAAUCCGACUGAAAAGAUGUUUAAAGACUUUUUUCAUUUAAUAAAUCGUAUCCACAUUAACGUUCUAGUUGAAAUGGUGCAGGAGCAUUCUAAAUUGUAUUUAGAUGUUUCAAAUUGUUAUUUCAUGAAACAUGCUCGAUUCUUCCACUUGCAACACAUAUCACUAGCAUAGUUGGUCACUCCAUGUGAUGCAAAUUAGAUAGGACCACUGGAUAUAAAUGACGCAGGGCAAGCCACCGGCUCUCGUAGAUGAGGCCUAUGAAUAACAAGCGAGGCGAUGUGUGGAGUAGACAAAAGCUCAUUUCCUUUUCCGUCUUCAGCUCCCUCCCUCCCUCCAUCUGUGGAGAGCGGACGAAGACUAGAAGACGAUGACGUUGGAAUCUCAAGUUCUUGAUAUCUCCCUUUCGUUUAAUCUUGCGGAUGUUUCUUUACAUGGCUUAUUAGUUUCACAGUUAAAUGGUUCUGGUCUUGGUGAUCCAAUUAUCACGUCUUAUCAUAAACGAAUCAUACAUUUCCAAGAUUUCAUUUCAAAGUAUAGACAAAGAGAAGGUUUCUCUGAGAUCUCAGUGUACUUGAUCUGUCCCUCACCUUUAGGUCUACGAUUUGGGAUUCUUUCUUUUUGGAUGGAUCGUUAGAUCCUUAGAUACAUAGUUCAGAGUUUGACGAUCUUUAAUGGUGAAUACUUUUUUAGA
rnacentral:lncRNA from 1 species